rnacentral:rRNA from 1 species
UACGUAGGGGGCAAGCGUUAUCCGGAUUUACUGGGUGUAAAGGGAGCGUAGACGGAUGGACAAGUCUGAUGUGAAAGGCUGGAGCUCAACCCCGGGACUGCAUUGGAAACUGCCCGUCUUGAGUGCCGGAGAGGUAAGCGGAAUUCCUAGUGUAGCGGUGAAAUGCGUAGAUAUUAGGAGGAACACCAGUGGCGAAGGCGGCUUACUGGACGGUAACUGACGUUGAGGCUCGAAAGCGUGGGGAGCAAACAGG